GGGAUUAACGCUGGCGGCGUGCAUGAGACAUGCAAGUCGAACGGACACUCGGGGCUUGCUCUGAGUGUUAGUGGCGGACGGCUGAGUAACGCGUAGGUGACCUGCCCCGAAGUGGGGAAUAACUGCCCGAAAGGGUGGCUAAUACCGCAUGUGGUGAUGCGUUCAUUCGCAUCAGUAAAGCCGCAAGGCGCUUCGGGAGGGGCCUGCGUCCGAUUAGCUCGUUGGUGAGGUAACGGCUCACCAAGGCGACGAUCGGUAGGUGGUCUGAGAGGACGAUCACCCAGACUGGGACUGAGACACGGCCCAGACUCCUACGGGAGGCCAGACAGGUACGGUU
rnacentral:rRNA from 1 species